AAUAGAUACCCGGGUAGUCCACGCCCUAAACGAUGUCUACUAGUUGUCGGGUCUUCAUUGACUUGGUAACGCAGCUAACGCGUGAAGUAGACCGCCUGGGGAGUACGGUCGCAAGAUUAAAACUCAAAGGAAUUGACGGGGACCCGCACAAGCGGUGGAUGAUGUGGAUUAAUUCGAUGCAACGCGAAAAACCUUACCUACCCUUGACAUGGUCGGAACCCUGAAGAGAUUCGGGGGUGCUCGAAAGAGAACCGAUACACAAGUGCUGCAUGGCUGUCGUCAGCUCGUGUCGUGAGAUGUUGGGUUAAGUCCCGCAACGAGCGCAACCCUUGUCAUUAGUUGCUACGAAAGGGCACUCUAAUGAGACUGCCGGUGACAAACCGGNGGAAGUGGGGAUGACGUCAAGUCCUCAUGGCCCUUAUGGGUAGGCUUCACACGUCAUACAAUGGUGCAUACAGAGGGUUGCCAACCCGGCAAGGGGGGAGCCAAUCCCGAGAAAGUGCAUCGUAGUCCGGAUUGCAGUCUGCAA
rnacentral:rRNA from 1 species